UCCGAGUUGACCCCGGCAGUCUCCUGCGAGUCCCCGCCAUUACGCGCUGGCAACACAGGACAAGGGUUGCGCUCGUUGCGGGACUUAACCCAACAUCUCGCGACACGAGCUGGCGACAGCCAUGCACCACCUGUGCAGGACGCCGAAGCACACCGUGUUUCCACGGCUUUUCCCUGCAUGUCAAGCCCAGGUAAGGUUCUUCGCGUUGCUUCGAAUUAAGCCACAUGCUCCACCGCUUGUGCGGGCCCCCGUCAAUUCCUUUGAGUUUCAUUCUUGCGAACGUACUCCCCAGGUGGUGUGCUUACUGCGUUAACUGCGUCACGGACCCGGAAGGGCCCACAACUAGCACACAUCGUUUACAGCGUGGACUAC
rnacentral:misc_RNA from 1 species